rnacentral:lncRNA from 1 species
GUCAUGUUCGUGGCCUCCGAGGACUCAUCACUACCUCUGAGGACUCAUCGUCGCCUCUAGAGGCCUCAUCACUGUUCUUUGCUCCCCUUGCCUCCCUCAUCUCUCUCCUCUCUUCUUAAGCUCUCCUCUACCACCAUCAUGUCUACCAUGUACAGAGGCCUCAUCACCACUUCCAAUUCCUCUUUCGACCAUCAGCUAUCAUUUGCACUCUACCAGAGCUUCAACUCGGAGCCCCUCGAUGGCUCCAGU